rnacentral:rRNA from 1 species
GAUGAACGCUAGCGGCAGGCCUAAUACAUGCAAGUCGAGGGGCAGCGAUUCAAACUUGUUUGAAGUCGGCGACCGGCGCACGGGUGCGUAACGCGUAUGCAAUCUACCUUUUACAAAGGGAUAGCCCGGGGAAACCCGGAUUAAUACCUUAUAGUGUUAUAAUGUGGCAUCAUAUAAUAACUAAAGAUUUAUUGGUAAAAGAUGAGCAUGCGUCCAAUUAGCUAGAUGGAGAGGUAACGGCUCCCCAUGGCGAUGAUUGGUAGGGGUUCUGAGAGGAUGAUCCCCCACACUGGUACUGAGACACGGACCAG